rnacentral:rRNA from 1 species
GACGAACGCUGGCGGCGCGCUUAACACAUGCAAGUCGAGCGAAGCGGCGGACGGGUGAGUCACACGUGAGUAACCUGCCUUAGACAUUGGGAUAGCCUCGGGAAACCGGGAUUAAUACCAAAUGGUCUAAGAUGGACUCGGGUCCCAUUAGCUAGUUGGUGGGUAACGGCCCACCAAGGCGACGAGGAGUAGCCGGCCUAUGUGGGUGAGCGGCAACAUUGUAACUGAGAAACAGUCCAAACUCUACGGGAGGCAGCAGUGGGGAAUAUGGCACAAUGGAGGUAACUCUGAUGCAGCGACGCCGCGUGAACGAAGAAGGCUUUCGAGUCGUAAAGUUCUUUUAUAUGGGAAGCGGUACCAUAAGAAAAAGCCCCGGCUAACUACGUGCCAGCAGCCGCGGUAAUAC